rnacentral:rRNA from 1 species
GAUGAACGCUGGCGGCGUGCCUAAUACAUGCAAGUCGAGCGAACAGACGAGGAGCUUGCUCCUCUGACGUUAGCGGCGGACGGGUGAGUAACACGUGGAUAACCUACCUAUAAGACUGGGAUAACUUCGGGAAACCGGAGCUAAUACCGGAUAAUAUAUUGAACCGCAUGGUUCAAUAGUGAAAGGCGGUUUUGCUGUCACUUAUAGAUGUAUCCGCGCCGCAUUAGCUAGUUGGUAAGGUAACGGCUUACCAAGGCAACGAUGCGUAGCCGACCUGAGAGGGUGAUCAGCCACACUGGAACUGAGACACGGUCCAGACUCCUACGGGAGGCAGCAGUAGGGAAUCUUACGCAAUGGGCGAAAGCCUGACGGAGAAACGCCGCGUGAGUAAUGAAGGUCUUCGGAUCGUAAAACUCUGUUAUUAGGGAAGAACAAAUGUGUAAGUAACUAUGCACGUCUUGACGGUACCUAAGCAGAAAGCAACGGCUAACUACGUG